UGGUGUUAUGAUGAUGUGAAACAAGCUCCCUCUUCUGAACGAAUUGAGGACAGUUGCUGGCAGAAUCGAACCAAUGAACCUUAUUGCCACAACUGAGUAA
rnacentral:snoRNA from 2 species